rnacentral:rRNA from 1 species
UACGUAGGGGGCAAGCGUUGUCCGGAAUUACUGGGCGUAAAGCGCGCGUAGGCGGACCUGCAAGUCGGGGGUGAAAGCCCGAGGCUCAACCUCGGGAACUGCCUUCGAUACUGCGGGUCUCGAGUCCGGGAGAGGUGAGUGGAAUUCCUAGUGUAGAGGUGAAAUUCGUAGAUAUUAGGAAGAACACCAGUGGCGAAGGCGGCUCACUGGCCCGGUACUGACGCUGAGGCGCGAAAGCGUGGGAGCA